UUUUUUUUCAUUUUCUCGGUCCUCCUCUUCACCUUCUAUGCUUCUGCUUCUGCUUCUGCUUCUGCUUCAACCAUAGUCAUCGUCGCUGCUGCUUCUGCCAUCUCCAUCCCCACCGCUGCUUCUGCCAUCGUCGCUUCUGAGAUGAAGAAUGUAGUCUCAAGGUUAUUACAUAUUGUUCGCCCCCCAUCAAUCCACACAACAAGAAGCUUCGAGUUGCCCUAAUUUGAAGAAAUCGUUCAACGAUUCUACUUAAUUCAAUUUUCCCAGGGGAGCGACAUUGAAGAAAAAUCACAGCACCUGAAACGGAGAAGAUGACCAUAGUAGGAGAAGCAAAGCCACGGGAGAAAAGGAGGCAACACCAACCAUCAUUAUUCCAGUUCGUUGCUUCACCUGCAGUAAGAUCAACUAAUUCUCUAAAAAGGUGUAAGAAAGGAGCGAGCUGCACUUGGCGCUAUCUUAUUCUUGUUGGCUUUCGUGUAUGCUUUAUGGCCAAUGUGCAUCCACUCUCCCAUUCCCUCACCUGAUUAAGGUGUAUGGGACAUAAUAAAGGCUGGGAGGAAGUGGCCUCCAUGUUUACUAGUUCAGUAAUAGAAUUGAAGACAUGCAAUGCUGCUUUGCUUGAAGGCACUGGAAAAUCCUGGGUAGAGAUGAUCUUAUCGUUUUUACUCCCAUUUGCUCUCGUUCCACUUCCCAAAUUUACCAGCAGUAAGGCAAAGAUGGGUGUUCAUGCUAACUCAUUCAUGGCACCUGGAUGAUUGGCUCCUUGAUCAUGGUCAUUAACAUUUACUUCAUUGCAAGCAGUUUUAUCAAGGUAGAAUACCCAGCUCCUGGCAAUAACAAGGCAUGAAGAUCAACAACUUCCUGGGGAAGACAUAGUUAACAUGCAACUGCCUCAAAGAAGGACAAAUGCAGACGAUAUUGAGUAAUUGGUAUUCAACAAUCCGAGGGAGAAGCCUUUUACCGUUGAGUAGAUAAAUGAAGUUCGAGAAAAGUUGGCAAAGUUCAUUACCAUUUAUUGUCUUUGAUAUUUUCUUGUAGUGAAUCUUAGAUUAUGGAUGCUAGUUUUUCAUAGGAUUGUCAUGUAAUCAAUUUUUAUAUUAUAAUUAUAUACUAUUUAAUUUAAUUAUCUAUAUAAUUUGAUUUUUUUUA